CAGAGCGAAGCCACGCCCAGGGGCGCGACCUUAAUGGCGGCAGCCGAGCAUAACUGGCGCACCGUUUGCUAGCAAGAUAUUUGGAGUGCUGAAACUGGCUUACUCUGCACAGCGUCUUAAAGCCUGUGCGUAUUAGCUUGGGCUCCUCUGGCCACUAAAACCAGCUGCUGCUUCAGUGGCCCCGCAUGAGCAUGCACACGCUGGCGGGAAGCAUGGUGGGGGCUGGCUCUCUCUCCUCUCCCGAGAUGGCAGCAGCCUGAGGUGGAGAUUGGUCCCCCCCGCCUAAUUUUCUCUCUGGUUGGCGCUCGGAGGAGAACUCUCUGGGCUCUCUGAGCCGAGUGUCGUCUGGGACACGCAGGUGCAGUUCUCACAGCCAGAGGCGGUGGAGGCGGUAGGGUGUGCGCCAGGCGUGGUGGCGCGGGCUUGUAGUCCCACUUACUGGGUGGGCUGAAUCAAGAGGUGGAGGGCGGCUCCGGAGUCGUGCCACUGCCAGCACCACUGCCAGCACCACUGCCAGCACCGGCGGACUGAACCGGACUCAGGCGAUGCCAUUUGGGGAAGCUGAGGAUUCCCGGGAAGGUGAAUUUUCAUUCUUCUUUGGAAAGUGAACAAGGAAAAGAAUUUUCCUUCAUGCUUUGUCUUCUUCCUACCUGACCCCUCCAGAAUUUGGCAUUCUGAAGUAGUGCUGGCUCCACUGUGGUGUCCAUCACCAGUAUCUUCACCAUCAGUGGUUUGUGCCAUAAAAGGACAUGUGACUAGACCCUGUGAAGUCAAGUUCCAUGUAGUUACUUGUAUAAAACCUAAUUAGAACCAAUGGUGAGAUAGCCCAUUUCUUUUCCAGGUUUACCCAAAACCCCCUUGAGUUUAUCUGUACACUCAUAGAGAAUAUGUAGAGCUGAAAAUGUUCAUAGUUUCAAGUCUAAAAUUUUGGAAGUGCCCAAAAUAGGUGGUCAUUUUAAUGUCUAAAACUUACAUUUUGUGGUUUUUUAAUCUGAAAUACUGAGAUUAAAAUGGACUUGACUCCAAAUGUGUUUGGAAUAAAAAACGUGGAAUUUUUAAAAAGUAGUAAGUUUCAUUUAUGAUACUAUGUAUGAAUAAAUUAACUGUGAAUAAUGUUCUUAAAUGCCACUUUAAAACUUGUGACAUCAUAAAUAAUUAAUAAAGGAUUUUCUUGUUCUAGCUGGUGUGACUCAGCAUAGUGAGCUUUACCCUGUGAACCUGAAGUUCACUGGCACAUACCUGGGAUUCAUGCUGUGUCCCAUUUUGGGAGCACUUGAGAGGCAACAGAUGAAUGAUUCUCUCACACAUUAAUGUUGCUAUCCCUUUUUUUCUCUCUCAAUUCCCCUCUUUCUAGAAGUAA